rnacentral:rRNA from 1 species
AUGCGCCCACGCUACCGCUUGCUCAUCUCCAUCCACUCCGCUGCUACAGUGAGUACUCCAGUGGUCAAGAUGGAUGUUCACCACAACCAUUUACCACCAUGUGGAACCAGAAGUCCAUUCAGUGGUUCACAAGAGAAGGUAUGGAAACUUGACAACAUUAGCUUGGGAAAGAUGCUUUCACAGAUGAAUAAGUCUGGACUGGUACACAAAGGCAUUGCUAGGCGGACCUUCAUGGAGAAAUCAAGUCAAUUAGCAGAUUUCAGCAGAAAAGGGUUACCCACAGGCUCAAAUGCAAGAUGCGGAACUGUGAAAAAAAUACAAGUUAGCUACAAAAGAUGGAAACGAUGCGCUAACAAAUACACCAAUCUUGUUUAG